UACGGAGGGGGCGAGCGUUGUCCGAAGUUACUGGGCGUAAAGCGCGCGUAGGCGGGUGGGUAAGUCCGCUGUGAAAGCCCGGAGCUCAACUCCGGAGGGUCGGUGGAUACUGCCCAUCUUGAAGGUGCCAGGGGGAGAUGGAAUUACCGGUGUAGCGGUGAAAUGCGUAGAGAUCGGUAGGAACACCAGUGGCGAAGGCGGUCUCCUGGAGCAUACUUGACGCUGAGGCGCGAAAGCUGGGGGAGCGAACGGGG
rnacentral:rRNA from 1 species